AGAGAAACCAAACUUCUCCGCCCAUAAUAAUGUUCACCUAAAAUACAAUGCUUUAUCUUCAAAAAUAAAUACCCAUAACUCAAAACAAUUUCGUUUGUCCACACUCCACACACAAACAAACAUUUCGAAGCAGUCCAUUUUCUUUUUCAUUUUUCACACACACUUUUCGUACAUAUAGCUAAAAUAAACAUCUUACAUAUACCAUAACUCAUAAUUCAUCCUUAAAUCACAAGUUUUCAUUUCAUCAAACAAUUUUCAGCAGCUUUUCUCAUGGAGAUUUUCUGGUUUUUCAAAAUUUUCUUGACUUUCACCUUCUUUUUCUUGAUGGGAGAUCCAUUUUUCUCUCAUUCAUCUUCUUUGCCCGAGGGAAUCGCGAAGUCUGCAGCUGUACACCGCAAUUACACCGCCAUAUCAGAGUUUCGAGUACUCAACAGAAAACCUUUGAAGGAUUGCCCCGACCUGAACCCGUAUUUGCAAAUAAACACAAGCUCCAUUGCCAAGCUUUCUGAUGAUGGAUAUAUAACAGUAAAUGUUACAGGAGUUUUACUUCCUUCGGCUACUGAUUGGGUCGCAAUGAUUUCCCCAUCUCAUGCCGUGUAAGAUGAUUAUUUUCGUAUCUAAAUAAUCUGAUUCUACGCUUGAAAAAACGGUAAAUUUAAUCUGAUCUUGCAGUGUAACAGCCUGUUUAGAAAACUCAAUUCUUUAUAAGGAGACAGGAGAUUUUAGUAGUCUUCCUCUUCUCUGCCAUUAUCCUGUUAAGGUAAGUGCAUUCUACUUUUGCAAAACGUUUGAAGGAUUAUAAUAAUCACAGUUUAAUUAGCCUUGAGAUUAUUUUAUAUUUUACUGCGCGCAGCCAUUCUUUUAAUUUAUUUCUUGACAUGCCUGGUUCAUAAUGAUCAGAAAUCUGUUUAAGUAUCAAAUAAUUCAGAAACUGAGAGUUUCUUGAAAAAUUUGUCCUUGAUCCGAUAUUUACUCGACAUAGUAACAACAACAAUAACAAACUAAUGUCGAUCGACUUGGGUUAUUGCUAAAAUUUGCAGGCUCAAUAUUUAAGAAGUGAUCCAGAUUACUUAAGUUGCAAGAAGAAGGAAUGCAAGAAAAAAGUGAAUGGAAAAUGCGUGUUGAGAACAUGUAGUGCGUCUUUGUCAUUUCAUGUCAUUAAUAUUCGAACUGAUAUCGAAUUUGUGCUGUUUGCUGGUGGAUUUGUUGCGCCUUGCAUUUUGAGAAGAUCACAGCCACUCAGAUUUGCCAAUCCAAACAAGCCUUUAUAUGGACAUAUAUCGAGUACCGAUUCAACAGCAAAAUCGGUAUGGAAUGCCAUCUCUGAUCUCCAAUAUCCAUGCAUGUGGUUGAGAAUUAAUUAUUUUAUUUUUAUUUACAACAUUUUAGAGGAAAUAGUUCGACGAUUUUUUAUUUAUUUAUUUUUGAUAAUAUGUUAUUAAAAAGCGGAAGUUAUGAAUUUCAUAAAAUGUGUGUGACUGAAAAUUAUUUGAACGAAAAAAGUUUAAGAAAAAGUUGUAUCAAACAUGCCUUUAUUUAACCCCUAUUUGGUAUAGCUAAAAAUUAAUUUUUUGUAAAUUUUAAUAAAAGUUGAUGAAAUGUAUUGAAAAGUUUGAAUCCCUUAAAUUAUUUAAUUAAAAUAAAAUUUUAAUUUUCACCAUAAUUUUUCAAUUCCUUACUCCUGUAAGAAAUGGCACAAGGCUUUGUUGACUUUGCUAUCAUUAAUUGCCUUGUCCGCCCGGCAAGAUUAUCGUUCACAAGCAUCUGCAAUUUCCUCUUUUUAAUAAAUUAAACAGCUGUGAUGGGAUGGCAACAUAUUUACCUUCUUUAUGGGAUUAAAAUCAAAAUUUAUUGAUAAAAAUUAAUAAAAUGUAUGAUUGAAAAGUUGUGAAUCCUAUAAAAUAUAUUAUUAAAUCUAAUUAUUAAUUAUAAUUAUAAUUAUAAUUUUAAAUCCUAAUGAAUGGGGACUUAAAGAUCUACCACCAACUUAACUGAGCAAUUACUGUUGUGCAGAACAAAUAUUGAAUAUUCUCACCUUUUACUGAAUUAAGUAAUUAAUUCAGUGUACUCGUGGGAUUAAAAAGUCAGCAGCAGUUGACUGCAAAAUUUUGAGGUGUGAAAGAAGAAAAAACGUAGCAGUGCUUUCAAACGUAGGGCCACAUAAUAUUAGUGCAUGGGAAGUGAUAAAUAAUUAUAUAUUUAAUUAGGUAUAUUUUUUAUGCUGAUGAGAUUAGACAUUAUAAAGAAUAGAUUUUGUAAUGUUUUUUCCCAAAGUUUGAUGCAUUAUAAUUUUGACGUGUCAAAAUUUUAGUGAGACGCAUUUUUGCCUUUAAAAAAAACAACGAAAGAGACAACAAGAUAGAGCAACAAAUGUAGACUCGUCGUGAACGCAUUAACACCUGUAUUUGAUAUGAAUAUAUUUGGUAAGAUUUGAUAUGAAUAUAUGGAGAAUAUAAUGGAUUUUUCAAAAUUGUGAUAAUUGCAGAUGAGAGUAACAUGGGUGAGUGGAAACCAACAGCCUCAACAUGUUCAAUUUGGAAAUGGGAAAUCAGUUACCUCACUUGUUUCUACUUUUUCACAAAGUGAUAUGUGCAACAGUAAGUUUCUUAUUCUCCUCGUGCUUUUGCUUAAAGUAGCUUAAAACCGUAUAUCUUUGAGACUUUUAUAAACAACCAAAUGACUUGAUUGAACAUCGUUUUGUCUACCCAUUUGAGAAGACUAAUGUUAUUCGGCACAACUAAUGUUAUAGUUUUUUCCAUGAAUUCUCGAAGGGAUUGGCAUCUUCAAUCUAGAUUAAUGUUUUAUUCUAAAAUAUUGUUUCCUUUUUAUCGAAAAUAAGCUUCCUACUUACAAAGUCCUGCCAAGGAUUUUGGGUGGCAUGACCCUGGCUACAUUCAUUCAGCUGUAAUGACAGGACUCAACCCUUCAACCAAGUACCUCUACAGAUAUGGAAGGUAAAUUUUUGUUUCCAAGUGAAAAAUAAGAAGAGGGAAAAAGAAAGCCGAAAACAUUCUGCAGUAGGAAAAUAUUUUUAAUUUCGACUGGUAAAAAAUCGAAAAACUUAUUGCAUAUACUCAGACUUACAUGUAUUAUACAUAAUUUGAACAUAUAAUACAGUGAUUCAAGUGGAUGGAGUAAUUGGACAACAUUCAAAACACCGCCUGCUGGUGGAUCAGAUGAGCUUAAAUUUCUUGCAUUUGGUGACAUGGGCAAGGCUUCUCGUGAUGCUUCUACUGAACACUAUAUACAGGUAAUAUAUAAGUGUGGAUAUGUCUGUUACAGAAAAUAUGAAUACAAUGCAAUUAUGGCUAAAAAGGGCCUUAUUUUUGGGGAUAAAUAUAGCCAGGAUCACUAUCAGUCAUCGAAGCUAUGGCCGACGAACUAUCCUCCAGUGGAGUCGACGCAAUAUAUCAUAUUGGAGACAUAAGCUAUGCCACAGGUUUUCUAGUAGAAUGGGACUUUUUCCUUCACCAAAUUAAUCCAGUGGCCUCUAAAGUUUCUUACAUGACUGCAAUUGGGAAUCAUGAGAGGUAUGCUGUUCGGUUCAAAAUUGUGUAACUGUCACAUAUUUAAUGAGAAAAUGGUUCGACGCUGUUUAAGCUUUUAGACAAACUGAUAAAAAUUCGAGGUAUUAUCUUUCAGGGAUUUUGGAGACUCCGGAUCGGUUUAUUUUACUCCGGACUCUGGUGGUGAGUGUGGGGUACCUUAUGAGACAUAUUUUCCAAUGCCAGCAGUUGCAAAGGAUAAGCCAUGGUAUUCUAUAGAACAAGGGAGUGUUCACUUUACAGUAAUUUCAACAGAGCAUAAUUGGACACAAAACUCAGAACAGGUACAUAAAUAACCUUCUUUUACACUGUUUUGUGCCUCGUUUAGCAUAGUAGGUAAUGUAAUACUAGAAAGUAGAGUAAUGUCUAAUAAGUUUAUGUUGUCUAAUACCAGGUGUAUGUUUGAUAUUGAUUUUUCUCCUCAAAACAUUCAUUUUUUGACCAUUAUUUCACUAUUUCAGCCGUCAUUUUUGACUUCUUCUCUCACAAAUUAGACACAUUUUUCUCUCUAACAGUCAAAAAAUCAAUUUUCAAAAUCACUAUCGAACAAGCCCCAGCAACAAAACUUAGCCUUACAUCUUUUCCGUCUCAUGGAACAAAAUAAUAAUUGUUGCACUUAACUUCAUUGUGUCCUUGCACAGUAUGAAUGGAUGAAGAAGGACAUGGCUUCAGUUGAUCGAUCAAGAACUCCAUGGUUAAUAUUCACGGGGUAAUUUUAUAUUUUCAAGGCCACGGCCAAUAUCUUUUUAUUGCAUUUCGAUUAGCCAACUUUUAACUAAAACUCUGCUUGUCUUCUUUCAUGAGUAGGCUAGAUGUUUAAUCAACAAUAAACUAAAUGUUUUGCGUUUUUCCUAAACAAAUUUGGAUCAGUAACAAAUUAUCAUGAAUGAAAAUUCUUGUCAGUGACCACCGACAGUAGGUCGAUAUGUGAUUUAGAUGGAAUUAUCGACAAUGAUGUUGUUGGUGAUUGUUAAUAUAUUGUCAUUAGUGAUUGUCAAUGGACCGCUUAAUUCUUGAGUCGACUCUGAUUUAAAAGAUGCACGAAUAUGUUUUUUUUACUGCUCCGUUCAUUUCAUUGCCACAUUACUUAAAUCCAAUGCCAGUAACAGAAACAUGUACAAAUAAUCAAUUCAUUAAUUUUACAUGUCAAUAAAAUUAAUGAAUAUUGCGAAUUGACUACAGGCACAGGCCCAUGUAUUCCUCCAACGACGGAAACAUUAUUUUGCCAAGCGUCGACGACAAAUUCGUCCAAGCCGUGGAGCCAUUGCUACUAGCCAAUAAGGUAAAAGUUUCCAUCGAGAACACAAAUUUUAGUAAGUACUGGCUUCGUGAUUAAUUGUACUCACUAACAUAUAAAUGGAUCUACAGGUUGAUCUUGUUCUAUUUGGACACGUUCACAACUACGAAAGAACAUGUGCCGUUUAUAAGCAACAAUGCAAGGCAAUGCCAAAGAAAGAAAGAAAUGGAAUUGAUACAUAUGAUAAUACAAAGUAUAGUGCACCAGUUCAUGCUGUUAUUGGAAUGGCUGGCUUUAGCUUGGAUAAGUUCUCCAACAAGGUAAGUAGUUACAACCUCAAGCCCUCAUAGAGACUCGUCCCCCCACUCUCAUCGUCGUCUCAAGUAUCAAACUUGGAUCCCCUGUCAAUUUUUCUUGACCUUUGGGUUUCAAAUUCAAUUUUGUAGCUUGAGAUUUCUCUAUACGAUUUAUUAAAGAUGAUCUUAAAAGAAAUCCAUGUCUUGGGACACAAAUUCUACCGGACGUUAACUCAAAAAGAAAAAAAUGUCAAGAAAGAUAUACAAAUACUCGAGCCUACAAUGAGAAUCACAGUUGCAAUUUUUCAUGGAAAAUAGUAACACAUACUAGAAUCAUGGGGACGUUUUUUUGUUCGUGAUGGACAGGGGAAGCCAUGGAGUUUGGUUAGGAUUUCCGAGUUUGGAUACACAAGAGUGCAUGCAACAAAGAAAGAGCUAAAAGUUGAGGUCAGUUCAUGAAUCUUUAUCUGCUUUAAUUUUAAAAUUGGGUGAUGCAAUAAGAACAUCAAAUUGAGUUAAUUUCUUGACAUGUUUAUAUCAUUUUGCAGUAUGUAAAUUCAAAUACAAGAAACGUUGAAGAUAGCUUCCGAAUCAUCAAAAGUUGAAAAAUGAAAAAUAUAUAGGCAGGGAGAUUUGCUUUAUAAAUAUAUUGUAAUGAAAGAACAUUGGAAAUCUUUUAAGAGCACUUGUAUUUUCUAAAUAGCUUCUCUGAUUUUUAUUUUUGAAUCUAAACUGUCUUGGUCAGUUGAUUUCAUCCCAGUUUUUGAAGAACUGUUUUUAGACUAUGACCAAACCAGUUCCCAAGCUGACAUUUUUUC
rnacentral:lncRNA from 1 species